CUUGAUCAAUGUUAGUCAUUCCAACAUUUUGAGUGAAACUAGCCAAAGGAGUUACAUACACCACGGCAGUUUCUCCUAAAAAAUCGAAGAACCUCAGAAUCCAAGACCGAUUGCGAUCCAUUUCAAGCGCGUAUCUUUGCACAUCACAAAAAAACUAUGUAUUUUAUGCAGAUCGUGCUGUACAUAACUAAACCGAAUUGAUAUCUCAUAUCAUUUCGGUACACCUUCCUAUAACUUACUGAUAAGCUGUAUCUAAAGCCAUAUCUAGUGCAAUACUUGGCGGCUUCGAUAAUGAGCAGGUGUAUGAGAAAAAUGAAAAUUGCAGAAUGAAGAGUAGCUGUUCAAGGCGCUAAAGAGAAAUCGUGCAGCGGCGCUAAAAAUAAAGUACAGCUAGCUAGGCGUCUCCAAUCAAUAGCUCUGUUGUAGCUGAGUCAGACACAGCAACGACAUCCCUUCGAAUUUGCGCGAAGCUUCAACAUUCAGCGUCUUGUACGAAAAAUUAACUGGAAUAACUCCUGGUUAAGGAACAUUUUUUUGGGUCAAUAAAAAUAUGCAUUUCGGGGUGCUGCAAAAGUUCU
rnacentral:lncRNA from 1 species